AAUGAUUCACACAUGUCCUUCUGUAGUAUUAUGACUUAUCAAUGCUCAGUGUUCACCUUAAAAGUAAAUUUCAACUUUAACUCCAAGUAGAAGAGCAGAGAAAACACAUAUUUAAGAAAUGAAUGAUAAUGUUCUAUAUACAAUAUCAACAUGGUGAAAAUAUUGAUUUGAUUUCAAACUCAAAGAUACACUCAGAAGUUGAUCAUAAGGUCUCGAGAAAAUGACCAAAGCUAGAAUACUUGGGCUCCCACCCUACUUCCUGCCGCGUUUUUGAGUUGUUUAAUCUCUUACCAAGAGGAUCAUUGGUUAACACUCAGAAGUUGAUCAUAAGGUCUCGAGAAAAUGACCAAAGCUAGAAUACUUGGGCUCCCACCCUACUUCCUGCCGCGUUUUUGAGUUGUUUAAUCUCUUACCAAGAGGAUCAUUGGUUC
rnacentral:lncRNA from 1 species